rnacentral:misc_RNA from 1 species
CAUUCAGUAGCCUAGCUACUGGCAUGGGGAUUGUUAGUCUGUAUAGUAUUACUACUGUUGAGCAGCAGAUCCCCUGUCUCUACCCUUGUUUUUUGCGCACUCAUUGUUUCCUCGGCGAGCUUGCUCGCCGGUUGGACAAAAACUAUAACCUUUUUAAAUCUUCAAUCAGCGUCUGAAUUAUACUUAAUAAUUA